AUCUCGCUGCUCAUUGCCCUCCAUCGCCUGUCCCAGACCAGCGUCAAGCCUGCUAGAUUAUACGUAUUCAACUCACAGCCGUGCGAUUUUACAUCAACCCAGUCAGCGCUGCGACUGAAACAAACAUCAGUGUAAUCUCGGUAAUGAUGACUGUCGCGUCCGUACGCUUCUGGAGCACUGGUGUGGUACUCAUUGGAGGCUUGGGUCUGUGCCCUUUUCGCGUGUACAGACUAAAACUGGAAAAUCUGAAUAAACGUGUAUAAAAAUAUCGGAGCACAGACUACCCGCAUACUUCAAAUUAACAAAUACAGAAGACAGGGGGAGAAAGUAGGAGACGUCGACGGUCGAUUAUAAAACGCAUUUUAAUAUUGACUGUUGCAAUUCAAAGGGUAUGCAAACACUACUGCACUCCUUUGUUGAAGAGCACAUCGGGGAAUGAUGCGAUUUAAACGAACGGGGGCUCGCUCCUGCAGAGAAACUUCGGUCCAGAUCCCCUGCACAACCUCAAAUAAUUCAGGGGAGGUGAUUACUACAGUCUUCGGCUGCAAGAAUUAGAUUGCAUUCAAAACGCAAUCUACAGGAAAUGGAACUUGCAAAGGAACAGAACUUAACAGUGCCCACCACGACUUGUGCAGUUGUUCCUCUUUCAUCAAAUUAAUCCCAGAGGGAAGGCAUUGUAAUAAAAAAUGGAUUUUGGAACUGUUUUGUCAGAUCCAUAUUGGCUGACUGCAUGGUGCUUUUAUAAGGAAGAUCUCUACACUCUCACUUUCAGAUCACAUAUGGUUCCUUUAAAACAACUGUUAAGAGCAACCAGAAACAGAAAUAAAAAAGUCAAUCGCUUUUACUUUAACAGAUCACCCUUUUGUGACACAAGGCAGAAACAAAGCAGGUAUUAUUAUUCUGGGUAAGUCAUAGUACAAUGCAAAGCAUGGUAAUUUGUAAGAAGAGAGCAACACUUUUGCUGUGCUUUUAUUGACUCAAAACAGACACUGAAGUAACUAUUCCCAGAUUGAGUUAGUUAAGAAUGUCUUUGGAAUACCAAUGUUUAAACUGUUUAAGGCCUGUGACUGAAGCGAUGUAUCAUUUAGAAAUAGUAUUGUUAAAUUGUAUAUUCAAAGCUUUAAAUUAAGAAAGCAAAUCUGAAAUAAAUAUAUGUUGCUGUAACCUUGUAAGUAACCCCCACUUUUAAAAUAUGCAGUAACUGCUGUUGUUCUGAUUGCAUAUUUAUGGACAAGCACCUUUCACGAUUUCAUUUUCUUCUUCCAAUAACAAUCCCAUUCUUACUU